rnacentral:rRNA from 1 species
AUUGAACGCUGGCGGCAGGCUUAACACAUGCAAGUCGAGCGGGGUGAUGGUGCUUGCACUAUCACUUAGCGGCGGACGGGUGAGUAAUGCUUAGGAAUCUGCCUAUUAGUGGGGGACAACAUCUCGAAAGGGAUGCUAAUACCGCAUACGUCCUACGGGAGAAAGCAGGGGAUCACUUGUGACCUUGCGCUAAUAGAUGAGCCUAAGUCGGAUUAGCUAGUUGGUGGGGUAAAGGCCUACCAAGGCGACGAUCUGUAGCGGGUCUGAGAGGAUGAUCCGCCACACUGGGACUGAGACACGGCCCAGACUCCUACGGGAGGCAGCAGUGGGGAAUAUUGGACAAUGGGGGGAACCCUGAUCCAGCCAUGCCGCGUGUGUGAAGAAGGCCUUAUGGUUGUAAAGCACUUUAAGCGAGGAGGAGGCUACUUGGAUUAAUACUCUAGGAUAGUGGACGUUACUCGCAGAAUAAGCACCGGCUAACUCUGUGCCAGCCGCCGCAGUAA